CAUUCCCGUGAGUCGCGCCGUCCGUGUGUUCCCGAGGCGGCCGCGGCACCACACUGUUCCGGGGAGGGGACGGCGCUGUGCAAAAUACCCCAAAGAUGCAAGAAAAGCACAGAUGUUUGUUACUUCAUAGCCGUGUUGUACUAAAAGUUUAGGUUUUCUUUUAACACCGUGAAAGUUGCCUGUAGUAGCUACGUGUUUUGUUCUGUUGUAGCUUCUAGUGUGUCAGGAUGGCCGUGGUGCUGGCCCAGGCACGCGUAAUGCAGCCUGAGGAUUUUGCACAACAGCGGCGGGCACUCGCUGAAACUUGUCACCAUCCAACACAACAGUGACGAAUACCUAGGCAUGAAACACAUCUCCCGCCCCCUCAAAGGAAAAGGGAUUAAUAUGUCACCAUCCAACACAACAGUGACGAGUACCUAGGCAUGAAACACAUCUCCCCGCCCCCUCAAAGGUAAAGGGAUUAAUAUGUCACCAUCCAACACAACAGUGACGAGUACCUAGGCAUGAAACACAUCUCCCCGCCCCCUCAAAGGUAAAGGGAUUAAUAUGUCACCAUCCAACACAACAGUGACGAGUACCUUGGCAUGAAACACAUCUCCCCGCCCCCUCAAAGGUAAAGGGAUUAAUAUGUCACCAUCC